UUUCCGUAGGUGAACCUGAGGAAGGAUCAUUAAUGAGUUGUCAUGGGGUUCGAUGCUGGCAGCCAAUUUUUGGAUGCAUGUGCUGCCCUAACAAUCAUCUUCUAAACACCUGUGCACAUUUUUGAGGGUGUCUUGAGUUGGUUGCCGCGCUUGGGUGAUUUUCUCACAUUCCCUUAAAUCAUUAUACGCUAUUAACAAUGUUGAACGUGCUCUGUGCCGCAAGGCUAUUAAUAUAAUACAACUUUUAACAACGGAUCUCUUGGCUCUC
rnacentral:misc_RNA from 1 species